ensembl:misc_RNA Y_RNA Y RNA
GUCUGGUCCAAGUGCUGUGGUGUUUACAACUAAUUGAUCACAACCAGUUACAAUUUUCUUUGUUCCUUAUCCACUCCCAUUGUUUCACUUGGCUAGCCUAAA